AGUAACGCGUGGAUAACCUGCCUUGCACUGGGGGAUAACACUUAGAAAUAGGUGCUAAUACCGCAUAAGCGCACAGAGCCGCAUGGCUCAGUGUGAAAAACUCCGGUGGUGUAAGAUGGAUCCGCGUCUGAUUAGCUGGUUGGCGGGGUAGAAGCCCACCAAGGCGACGAUCAGUAGCCGGCCGGAGAGGGUGAACGGCCACAUUGGGACUGAGACACGGCCCAAACUCCUACGGGAGGCAGCAG
rnacentral:rRNA from 1 species